rfam:Nitrobacter sp. Nb-311A 1099473104467, whole genome shotgun sequence.
UGACAGGAAGCGGUUCGGUAAUCGUCAGGCUCAUAACCUGAAGGUCAUAGGUUCAAAUCCUAUCCCCGCAA